rnacentral:rRNA from 1 species
UACGAAGGGGGCUAGCGUUGUUCGGAAUCACUGGGCGUAAAGGGUGCGUAGGCGGUCGGGUAAGUCUGAUGUGAAAUCUCCGGGCUCAACCCGGAAAUGGCAUUGGAUACUAUUCGGCUCGAGGUCUGGAGGGGGGACUGGAAUACUUGGUGUAGCAGUGAAAUGCGUAGAUAUCAAGUGGAACACCAGUGGCGAAGGCGAGUCCCUGGACAGAUCCUGACGCUGAGGCACGAAAGCUAGGGGAGCAAACAGG